rnacentral:rRNA from 1 species
CCUACGGUGUGCAGCAGUGGGGAAUAUUGCGCAAUGGGCGAAAGCCUGACGCAGCGACGCCGCGGGAGGGAUGAAGGUGCCAAGCAUUGUAAACUUCUUUUGUCAAGGGACAAAAUCAGGCUCGAGAGCCUGACCGAGGGUACUUGAAGAAAAAGCAUCGGCUAACUCCGUGCCAGCAGCCGCGGUAAUACGGAGGAGGCGAGCGUUAUCCGGAUUUAGUGGGUUUAAAGGGUGCGUAGGCGGGCUGUUAAGUCAGCGGUAAAAGCCCGGGGCUCAACCCCGGCGAGCCGUUGAAACUGGCUGUCUUGAGAUGUCGAGAGGUAUGCGGAAUGCGCAGUGUAGCGGUGAAAUGCUUAGAUAUUGCGCAGAACUCCGAUUGCGAAGGCAGCAUACCGGCGGCGAUCUGACGCUGAGGCACGAAAGCGUGGGUAUCGAACAGGAUUAGAUACCCCAGUAGUC